CUUUUAUUGACAUGAAUAAUGGUGACAGAAUCCAUUGCUACUACUGAAAAGCUGUUGUACAAUGAAUAAAAAGAAAGGACUUAAUACCACUAACAAUCAUGAAUGUCAGUCAGAAUGCUUAAGGUGUUUAUCAGGAUCAGUAUUGCACUUUCAUACAUAAAGAAUAUUGAAUUGUGCAUUUACUGGUAUAUUAGAAUUGAUAUCAAGACUUAAGGAAUAGACUGAAAAAAUUUUAAGUGACAAAAAAAAAAAUACAUGUAUUUAUUUUUGUUUAUAAUGUUUUCCUAGACAUUUAAUGUUUUGGAGAGAACUCUCCAUGAUUUUUAUAAUAAAAGUAUUGAAGCUC
rnacentral:misc_RNA from 1 species